CGCCCUCAGGUGGAUGCAACGUGAGCCGCCGAGUGUCCCAGCACGUGGGAGUCCGGGCCCCCGCCCUCCCCGGCGAUGCCGCGCGCGCCCCGGUGCCGAGCUGUGCGCGCCCUGCUGCGGGGCCGCUACCGCGAGGUGCUCCCGCUGGCGACUUUCCUGCGGCGCCUGGGGCCCGAGGGCCGGCGGCUCGUGCAGCGCGGGGACCCGGCGGCCUUCCGCGCGCUGGUGGCCCAGUGCCUGGUGUGCGUGCCCUGGGACGCGCAGCCGCCCCCCGCCGCCCCGUCCUUCCGCCAGGUGUCCUGCCUGAAGGAGCUGGUGGCUAGGGUCGUGCAGAGGCUUUGCGAGCGCGGCGCGAGGAACGUCCUGUCCUUCGGCUUCGCGCUGCUGGACGGAGCCCGCGGUGGGCCGCCCGUGGCCUUCACGACCAACGUGCGCAGCUACUUGCCCAACACCGUGACCGAGACGCUGCGCGGCAGCGGCGCGUGGGGGCUGCUUCUGCGCCGCGUGGGAGACGACGUGCUCACCCACCUGCUGGCACGCUGCUCACUCUACCUGCUGGUGGCCCCGAGCUGCGCCUACCAGGUGUGCGGGCCGCCGCUCUAUGACCUCUGCACCACCGCCGCGGCUCGGCCUGUCGCGUACCCCGGCCACCGGCCCACACGACACGCAGGCGGGACCCAGACAGGCCUCGGACCCACGCGCCAGGUCUGGAACGGCGGCGAUGGGAAGGCUGGAGGACCCCUAGGCCUGCCAAGCCGGGGCGUGAGGCGGCGUCGGGCCAGCACUGGGGGAAGUCCACCUCCUGCCAAGAGGCCCAGGCGCGGCCUGGCUGGGGAACCGGAGCAGGGACCUGACGGGCAGGUGACCCGGGCGCACCUGGGCAGGGCGCAUGGGCCGAGCGACAGUGAUCCCCACGCCGUGACGCCUAGCAGAGCCGCCGCGGAAGCCCCAUCUUGGCAGAGCGAGCUGCGUAGGACUAGGCUCGCCUUCCCGCCUCUGGGCCGAGAGCGCGAGGCCAGCUCCCCACCCACGUGGCAGUCGCCUCGGCCUCAGGGUGUGCCCCGUCCCCGAGUGUACGCAGAGACCAAGCACUUCCUCUACUGCUCGGGUGGCAAGGAACGGCUGCGCCCCUCCUUCCUGCUCAGCUCUCUGCAGCCCAGCCUGGCGGGGGCACGGAGACUCGUGGAGACCAUCUUUCUGGGCUCGGAUACCGGGCGGCCGGGGGCUCCCCGCAGGACGCGCCGCCUGCCCACGCGCUACUGGCGGAUGAGGCCCCUGUUCCGAGAGCUGCUCGCCAACCAUGCGCGGUGCCCCUAUGGCGCGCUUCUCCGGAAGCACUGCCCACUGCGCAGUGCGGCCACCCCAGGGGUGCCUGGCGACCCGGGGCGCGGUGGAGUGGGCAGCUGCACCCGGGAGAGGCCAGCGGCGGCCCCCGAGGAGGACGCGGGCCCGCGGCACCUGGUCCAGCUGCUCCGCCAGCACAGCAGCCCGUGGCAGGUGUACGCGUUCCUGCGGGCCUGUCUCCGCCGGCUGGUGCCCGGGGCCCUCUGGGGCUCCAGGCACAACGAGCGCCGCUUCCUGAGGAAUGUGAAGAAGUUCAUCUCUCUGGGAAAGCACGCCAAGCUCUCGCUGCAGGAGCUGGCGUGGAAGAUGAGAGUAGGCGACUGCGCCUGGCUAGGGAGCCCAGAGGCUCGCUGCGUCCCGGCCGCGGAGCACCGGCUCAGAGAGGCGGUCCUGGCCAAGUUCCUGUGCUGGCUGAUGGGCACACACGUGGUGGAGCUGCUCAGGUCAUUUUUCUAUGUCACGGAGACCACGUUUCAGAAGAACCGCCUCUUCUUCUACCGCAAGAGCAUCUGGAGCCAGCUGCAGAGCAUUGGGAUCAGACAACACUUUGAGAGGGUGCAGCUUCGAGAGCUGUCGGACGCCGAAUUCAGGCGACAUCAGGAAGCCAGGCCCGCUCUGCUCACGUCCAAACUCCGCUUCGUCCCCAAGCCCAACGGACUGCGGCCGAUCGUGAACAUGGACUAUGUCGUGGGAGCCAGAACAUUCCGCAGAGACAAGAAGGCCCAGCAGCUCACCUCGAAAGUCAAGACGCUGUUCGGCGUGCUGAACUACGAGCGGGCACGCCGCCCCGGCCUCCUGGGGGCCUCCGUCCUGGGCCUGGACGACAUCUACCGGGCCUGGCGCGCCUUCGUGCUGCGCGUGCGGGCCCAGGACCCGGCGCCCCCACUGUACUUUGUCAAGGUGGAUGUGAUGGGGGCGUAUGACGCCCUCCCUCAGGACAGGCUGGCGGAGGUGAUUGCCAAUGUGAUCAGGCCCCAAGAGAACACGUAUUGUGUGCGCCAGUACGCUGUGGUCCAGAGAGGUGCGCACGGACACGUCCGCAAGGCCUUCAGAAGACAUGUGUCCACCUUCACGGACCUCCAGCCCUACAUGAGGCAGUUCGUGGAGCAUCUGCAGGGGACGAGCUCACUGAGGGACGCUGUUGUCAUCGAGCAGAGCUCCUCUCUGAACGAGGCCAGCAGCAGCCUCUUCGACUUCUUCCUACGCCUGGUGCACAACCACGUCAUCAGGAUCGGCGGCAAGUCCUAUGUCCAGUGUCGGGGGAUCCCCCAGGGCUCCAUUCUGUCCACUCUGCUCUGCAGCUUGUGCUACGGAGACAUGGAGAACCAGCUGUUUUCCGGGAUUCAGCAGGAUGGAGUCUACGGGAGGCAGGUGCUCCUGCGCUUGGUGGAUGACUUCCUGUUGGUCACCCCUCACCUGGCACAAGCAAAAACCUUUCUCAGGACCCUGGUCGGAGGCGUGCCCGAGUACGGCUGCGUGGCCAACCUGCGGAAGACGGUGGUGAACUUCCCCGUGGAUGACAGCGGCCUGGGCGGCGCGGCCCCCCUCCAGCUUCCAGCCCACUGCCUGUUCCCCUGGUGCGGCCUGCUGCUGGACACCCGCACCCUGGACGUGUUCUGUGACUACUCCAGGUGAGCAUGCCCAGCAGUGGGCGCAGUCGGUCCAGUCUGGCUCCCGCUUCCAUGGAUGACAGGCGGCUGCAACCCCAAAAGGUCGGAGGCCUGUCUUCCCGUCCACAGGUGGGCAGAAACCCGUCCUUCUUCGGGCAUGAGGGGACUUGCACCACUAGGGGAGCAGUUGUCUGGUUUUUGUCAAAGGAAAUUGUGCGGCAGCCUCGGGGCACCAGCAUGUUCCGUGGGGAAGCAGGGCUGUGGCACAUGGGGCUGGCUCCAUGCGCUACCGUGGGUCCCUGUCUCCGUCAGCUCAGGCUGCCAUAAAAAUACUGCGGACAGGUGACGUAAACAACAGACCUGUGCCUUCUCUAGUUCUGGAGGCUGGACGUCCGAGGUCCAGGUGUGGACAGGGUGGGUUAGUCCGGAGGCCUCUCUCCCGGGGUGUAGACGGCCGUCGUCUCCUUUUGUCCUCACACAGUCGUCCCUCUGUGCUUGAGCAUCUCUCUGGUGUCUCCUCUUCUUAGAAGGACACCUGCCACGUUGCGUUAGGGGCCCCCAUGACCUCAUCUAACCUCAGUUACCUUCUUAACAGCCCCAUCUCCAGACAUGGGGUCAGGGCUUCACCCCAUGAAUCUGGGGGACAUAGUUCAGCCCCUGAGCCCGAGAGCCCACAGCUCAGCCUCAGGCCCCGCACAGACAUGAACGGACUCAGACAGACCCGGACGAGGAGCCUGUGCUCACUGUCUCGGUUGAAGGCACAGAUUCCAGACCACGGUGGAAGGCGGGCGUCCCUCCUGUGUUGUAAUUCCAGUUCUGGCCUGAGUACGCCGGGUCUGCACUUGUGCUGGUUCCCAGGCUCCUUGGGAAUUUUAUCUGAAAGGGAAAAAGCAGGCACAGGCGCUGGCUGUGUGCGGCCCGGAUGCGUCCGUCUGUCUCCUGCCUCCCACUGCUCUUGUGCACUCGCACCUGCGCUUCUGUCUCCUGACCCCGUUCCCUGCCCACUGGCUCUGUCACCCCAUCCUCAGGCCUCGGCUCGGCCUCCGGGCUUCCAACCCUCCCCGCCCUCCACCAGCUUCUCCCCCACAGCCCGAGGUCCCCGUCCCUCACGUCGGCAGUUCCCCGGUGCUCCGGCCGCUGGAUGCUGCCAUUGGGUAAUUUCUAGAAAUGUGUCCUGAAGAAAAAAUCAGAGACAUGAUCCCAGAUUCUAUUUGACCACUUUAAAUGCUUGGGCAGGGGCCUUAGCACAGAGACGAAACGACCGAAAUAGACGGCCGAGUAGAUGUCACGCGUCACCGAGAUGCCUUGUUCUGCCUUAAAGUUGUUUUCAAAGAACAUGGAAUAUUAGGAAAAGCUUAUUUCGGGAUGAGAGUGUUUGAAGCUGAUGUAAAAGGUCCCACGCGGAGUGGACUGUGUGUGUCUCAUCUGCUCUGCGUGGACCCCUGCCUGUGGGGAGUGAGUGGCGGGCACCACGGGUGUGGGCAGUGCGGCCUCUUCCCUUCCACGUCCCGUGACGCCCACAUUCCCCUCGAGGACUGCACGGCCCGUGGGCCAGGUCGGCCAUGGGAUGUUGGUGGGGCGUGCUUCGUCUCCUGGUUGCGUGGACGGACAUGUGUCUGCAGUGUGAUCAGAGUGUGCGUUUGAUGGCGCAGGGUGGGCAGGUGCGUGUCUGGCCCCACGCGGCUCACGCCCGCCAUCGUCACAGGUACGCACGGACCUCCAUCAGAGCCAGCCUCACCUUCCAGCAGGGCUUCAAGGCUGGCAGGAGCA